rnacentral:rRNA from 1 species
GACGAACGCUGGCGGCGUGCUUAACACAUGCAAGUCGAACGUGAUUUUUAUGGAAAGCCCUUCGGGGACGGAAAUGAAAUGAAAGUGGCGAACGGGUGAGUAACACGUGAGCAACCUACCUUACACAGGGGGAUAGCCGUUGGAAACGACGAUUAAUACCGCAUGAGACCACAAAGCCACAUGGCUUAGGGGUAAAAGAUUUAUCGGUGUAAGAUGGGCUCGCGUCUGAUUAGCUAGUUGGAAGGGUAAAGGCCUACCAAGGCGACGAUCAGUAGCCGGUCUGAGAGGAUGAACGGCCACAUUGGAACUGAGACACGGUCCAAACUCCUACGGGAGGCAGCAGUGGGGAAUAUUGCACAAUGGGGGGAACCCUGAUGCAGCGACGCCGCGUGAGCGAAGAAGGUUUUCAAAUCGUAAAGCUCUGUCCUAUGAGAAGAUAAUGACGGAUUCAUAGGAGAAGCCCCG